ACGUAUGGAAAGGAUAAACGCUGAAAGCAUCUAAGCGCGAAGCCUCCUCUAAGAUGAGAUUUCCCAAAUAGUAAGAUCCCUUAUAGACGAUAAGGUUGAUAGGCUGGGUGUGGAAGCAUGGUGACAUGUUCGAGCUGACCAGUACUAAUAGAUCGAGGACUUAACCU
rnacentral:rRNA from 1 species